CCGCCGCCACCCACUCCUGGCCUCUCUUCUCCCUUGGGAUCUUCCCCGAUCCACCUGCCCAAAUCAACCGAUCCAUCCAUCCAAUCAACGCCUGAUGCCCGCAACCUCUUCCCGAGUCUCCCGUGCUCCUCCUCGCGCUGUCGGCGACCGGCGCCGCUACCAGGGACCAGGAGCAGCAGGUCCUGGCCUCUCCCUUGCCCUCUGUUCUCCUCCCUCCAUUUUCCCUCUGCUCCAUCUUAUAUCUGCAGUUAUGUCUCUUUUCUGUAGAGACCAGGGAGAGAAGAAGCGGCAGGUGCGCUCAUGGCGUUGAUAGAGCAUCCUGCCAUGGAUCCCGCCCCAACUCCGCCUCGAUCCAUUGCCCUGCGGACGGAUCUGCGACCUGGCGCCCCAUCCCCAAGCAUCGGCCUCGAACCUCGCCAUUCCCGCGCCUCCAGACCGCAGCCCCAGCUAGCCGCCGCAGCCUGCAUCCCGUCCUGGCAACAAAGAUAUCUCUGUUUCGUGAUUCAGUUUCGUCAGACUCACCCCACGGUUUGGUUCAUCUGGCACAAACCCUGCAAUAUACCACUCGAGCAUGCAUAGGUCAACUGGCUUGUGACAACCGGUUCCAUCCCAGAGAUCUGGGGUUCGAAUCCCAGUAGCACGAUAUUUGUUUUGCCAGCUUUUUCGUCAGAGUCGCUUCAAGGGUGCUUCACCUAGUGCAACACUGCUCCUGUUAGCAUAAUUCCUGUGUAGCCAACUGGAUAGCCUGUUGUAUUGCAACCAGUGAGGUACUGGGUUCGAGUCCCUGGUGUUCCCUUUUGUUUUUUCUGGUGUGUUAACUUGGUUCGAGUCAUCGCUUCCUUGCCUGAUGCCUGUGCUAGUUCAACUAGCAUGGGCUAGCCCAGUGGCUUUGUGUGUUUGUGUCUGUAGGAGAGGUGCAGGGUUCGAUCGCCCCACCUGCACAUUUCUUUUUCUGUAAGAGNUGUGUGUGUCGUGCGUUCUAGGCCCACUUGCAUACACCAACUAGGGGCCCUGGUGUGCAUGGCCAGUGGGACCCCUUGACGAUGAUAUGUAUAUUGUUUUCUGUAGUAUUUAUAAAGUAUUUCCAAAUUUGGAAUAUUCUAGAAGAGGAAUAUGCAAAAUCUGGCAUAUAAGAAUAGCCCCCUGUUCUUGUUAAUAUCGGAGCUUGAUCCUGUGUAGUUUUCCCUUUGCUGUUUGUGGUGUUUUUCUUCAUGCAUAUAUAGCACUGUAAUAUAUGGAUUUGGGGUAGGAGAACCCAAGGAAUCCAAUGGAGACACUAGUUUCCAGUUCUGAGCAGUUCUGCAGAAGUGUCACUUUGUGAUGAGGUGGCACUUGUUUACCGAUGCAGGAUGGGUUAAGUGCAUCAAUAGGGGUUGAGCAUCCAUGCAUCGUAUUGGGUAGUGCAUUCGGUUGUGCAUGUGCUGUGGUGAAUAUCGUGUGUUGAUGCUUGUUUCCGGUUUGCUCCAUCUCGAUAGAGUUCCGCAAGCGUGUCGGAAUGUGAGGACCCGUUCGACUACAUCGAUUCGUUUGCUUCACGGAGUCAUUCUUCUUCCAAGCGGGAUCUCAGGCAAGAUGACCAUUUCCCCAGAUACCAUUACUA
rnacentral:lncRNA from 1 species